CGGUCCCAUGUUUAACGUCCCCCCUUUUUAAAAUUUUGAGCACUUUAAGUCCAGGGUUGCAUGAAGUUGCUUCGCUGGAGGGUCUACUGUCCACACACACAACACACAACACACCUUUGUCCUCAAUUGCAUUGUGCACAACAACCGGACGUCUGCAAAAUGUCGAGGGAAAGGUUUUGCAGUGCGUUGCACAUUUGGUUUUCUUCCAUGGCUUGCAAGGAUGUCGGAUCAGAUGUCCUGCUUUCUUAUUCCAUCUGUGUGUUGUGUGUUAAAUUUUCAAAUUGCAAAUAUCAUGGGAGACAUUUUGCACUCUGUGGUUGGACACACUUUCCUGAAAAAAUAUAGCUGGCAAAGGGGCAAGAACCAAACUGGAAGCAGUUCCCUGACACAGUGGAGAGUCCUCUCUGCUUUCAGGAUUCAGCCAUUUUAGGGCUGAUUUUCCAUAGAGUAGGGAAGUUUGUGGGGAUUAAACCGCUAGCCCUUCCCGGGCUUUUGACAGUUGCCCUCCAUAGCCACAAAUCAAACAUCCACAGCUAGAUAUAUCUGAUGCGGUUUGGUUCCAGGAGCCCAAAAUCUAUGGAUGCUCAAGUCCCAUUAAAUACAGUGGCCUAGUAAAAUGGUGUCCCUUAUAUUUCAUUCAGAGACAUUCAGAACCUUCUUAGCGCCAUUAGAGGCGUUUUGACGGUCACAACUGCCAUAUUGGGCCAGUUUCCCACCUCAAUUCUCCACUCCUUUUAUCUGCCUUUGACUCUCCAGAGAUUUAUUUUCCUGUCAGGCUUUUAAAAUUAUUUUUGACAGGACCUAUCUGCGUUUUGGCGGCCAUUUCUUAACAUCAUUCUUCAUAUUUUAAACCAAAGGCCGCGGUUCCUUAGGGAAUCACAUCAUUAAAUGUGAAUCUAUAUUCUGAGAGCUUCCCAUGCGCAAGAUGCGUAUAACUGGCAGAAAUUCAACUGGCAACGUGUGCAAUCCCAUUGUCAGAGUUUAUCGCACCAUUUCAGCACGGAAGAGAGAGCGAAGCACAUUUGAAACAUCCAGCGAACGAAGCGGAAAUGGCGCACAGUUGUGCAAAUAAAGCGACAUCGGAAAGACAUUGCUGCCGAAAUCCCGAAGCUAAAAAGAGAGGACAGAGCCAUGGCAAGUGACCCUCCAACCUCUCCGUCUUAAUGAUCUCUGAAGAAUGAGUCCACUGCAUUCCAAGGGAAUCUAUGAAUGGCUCUCGCUAUCAGAAUCUCUUCCCCAAGUUCACCCAAAUCGGCUUUCUUGACGUCCGAAUCCACAGAUUUGGGGUCCUUGCAGCCUUGAAAUGAAGAAGAAAAUCUGAAUUAUUUUCCUGAUUCGAGGGGCGAGGAAUGCCCCGAAUCUCAGAGAUCCUUUUGCCAACAUGUGCCUUUUGCUGCAUUGCGUUUUUGAAAGAGAAAUUGAGAUUAUUCUUAUUCUUAUUUCUUUGACAGAAUGACUUUAACAGGCUGCGCUUGCUGCUAAGAAAACCCCAAACUCACCGGAAACAAUGCCAAAACAUGCCCACGUUUCGUCCCUUACCAAACAAAACCACUCUUCUGUCUCUCUUUUAUACAUAUAUAUGUAUAUAUAUGAGAAGCUGCAUAAUGUUCUGCUACUUUAACGGAGCGAUAUGGUUUGCUUGCGUUUAAAAAAAGAAUUAAUACCUGGAUCGGAAAUAAAAACAGCUUUAAUUCAAAACUGGAAAGGAAAAAAUAAAAUAAAAACCGAAACCAAC